UCGGGCCAGAAGCUAUCAGGUUAGGACCAGAUAAGAAAAGUUCACCCCGUGCUGUCUGGUCCACCCCAGAUGUCAUCACAGUAUGCUAAUGAGCCCGGGGGCCUUUAAGUGCCACAGCCCAGCGUGCAGGGGCUCCAGACGUGGACACCUAGCAGCCAUUAAACAGGAACAGGUGACGGGUAGUGUCGGUGACCAACGCCAAACGCCAAACCUAAUGCAAAAAGAUUACAAACAUGGACAGAAUGUGCUCUGGCAGCUGUUAAGUCUUGUGCCCUGGACAGGAUAUCAUCUUAUACUGUAAGUUUAUUAAAGAGACACUACAGUAUAGAUGAUGUACUAUCCAGGGUUUCAUUCCCCCACCGGCGCUAUCAGCACGCACUCACGCCUAACUGACUGUAGUGGGCUGCACGCGCUUGCAGAGGAGGGCCGUCAAACCGUUACCAUUACUGAGUUUCAGUAAUGGUAAGGGUUAUAUGGCCCUUGCUCAAUGUCAUCUGCGCAGGAGGACGAAGGAAGCUGAUUGAUGUGUUGCACAUGAGGAUGUUUUUGAGAUGUACUUGUGCAUGUGAAAUAAAGCUCCUAAACAAAUAA